GAUGAACGCUAGCGGCAGGCUUAAUACAUGCAAGUCGAGGGGCAACAGGGGGUAGCAAUACCUGCUGGCGACCGGCAAACGGGUGCGGAACACGUACAGAACCUUCCUUUAAGCGGGGGAUAGCCCAUAGAAAUGUGGAUUAAUACCCCAUAGUAAUGUUGAGUGGCAUCACUUGAUAUUUAAAGAUUUAUCACUUAAAGAUGGCUGUGCGGCUGAUUAGGUAGUUGGUGGGGUAACGGCCCACCAAGCCAGCGAUCAGUAACUGGUGUGGGAGCACGACCAGUCACACGGGCACUGAGACACGGGCCCGACUCCUACGGGAGCAGCAGUAAGGAAUAUUGGUCAAUGGACGCAAGUCUG
rnacentral:rRNA from 1 species